GGAUGUGAGGGCGAUCUGGCUGCGACAUCUGCCACCCCAGAUCGUCAGGGUUGAUUCAGCUGAUCUGGCUGGCUAGGCAGGUGUCCCCUUCCUCCCUCAGCACUCCGUGUGCGUCCCUCCCAAAGCUGCACGCUCAGUUGAAGAGGAUGACCUUCCCCCAACAGAGGAGGAGCGGUCUUCGGUCAAGGAUAUACGAGAAGCUGCGCUCCCUGCUGGAACCUCCAGACCAUCUCUCAUGGUCUGGGUGGCAGGCGGCCCAGCCAAUGGCAUCCCGCUCGUGCUCUUGACCAAGUAGCAAUUUAUU
rnacentral:snRNA from 1 species